CCUAGGGAGGCAGCAGUGAGGAAUAUUGGUCAAUGGCCGAGAGGCUGAACCAGCCAAGUCGCGUGAGGGAUGACGGCCCUACGGGUUGUAAACCUCUUUUGUCGGGGAGCAAGACCCGCCACGAGUGGCGGAGCGAGAGUACCCGAAGAAAAAGCAUCGGCUAACUCCGUGCCAGCAGCCGCGGUAAUACGGAGGAUGCGAGCGUUAUCCGGAUUUAUUGGGUUUAAAGGGUGCGCAGGCGGACCAUCAAGUCAGCGGUAAAAUCGUGGGGCCCAACCCCAUCCCGCCGUUGAAACUGGCGGUCU
rnacentral:rRNA from 1 species